rnacentral:lncRNA from 1 species
GUCACAAGCUAUAUCCUCAGACACUGCUGGCUGCAUGAAGGACUUGGAUGCAGCCCCAGUGCCAGAGUCCACGGUCUCUCUCUAUAUGAAAUAAAUGUAUUUCCUGAUUGCAUUUCCUCUAGUUUUAUUGAAAGUCACAACACUGGUAUAAAGCAGGCUACUCCAGUGUGAAUUGCCCCCCUUCUUGCACUCUUGCCACGGGGCAGGAAGGGCUGCAGCCAUCUGGCAAGUGCACUGGGGAUGUUUACCUGGUCCUUCUCUCUCAGUCCAGAUCUUUGUGGUGAUUUACCCAGGAUUGCCAUGGAAAGGCAAAAUGUGUUGGCUCUGAGACCAAAGCCUGGCUGGGUUUAAUAAGGUCUAGCACCGGGAGUCUGAAAUGUCUUGCUCCAACCGGUUAGGCAGGGUUAACCUGACAGCGUGAGUUUAUCCUGUCACUUUGGCAAGGUUCUCCCUUCUGUUCUUCUCUGGGCAUAAAUCCUAUUUUGCAUAAAUGCAGAGCGUGAAGUUACAGGUGGAUCUUUGUAUUUAGUCUUUCUUCUGUCUCCUGUUGUGGUGUUAAGUUCUUACAUUUUGUUUCAUUCURUUUUUCCCCUUUUUUCUUCAAAUAACACCAUAUUUGAUUGCUGGCCAAUUCAUAAGAGUUUCAAAUACCCUACCAACAAUUUACAGUGUCAUUUACAACUACCUCACUUAUCUGUCUCCCACAGAUCUUCUAAGCCCUUUCUUCUGGCUAGAUUCCCAAAGGAACUGAAGUCUCCGGUGCACGGCUGCCUCUCUGCGACCAAGUCCAAAAGGAAAAGCUACAAAACACUUGCCCAGCCCUGGAGGUCCACAAAUUCCCCAGGCUUUCCCACAGGUCCUCAAGUGGCAUUGGGGGUCAAUCAGCCACAACCUCUGCUUCAUCCUGGAAAGAGUGGCUUUGUUUCAUGGGCAAACAAGUCAUCCAGACCUGAGAUGGAAUACGUGUAA